rnacentral:sRNA from 1 species
AAGAAAGUGACUGCCGCCCCGCACAGGGGCGAGCUAAUAGACCGCGAACCAAGCAAGUUUCAUAGAGGCCGAAGCGCAUCAAACGGUGUAGAAGCCCGAAGCCCAACCCCCGAACCCCGAGCGCCAG